UGUGUGGGCGCUGCUGCUGCAGCCGGGCUUCCGUCGGGUGCCUCUUAGACUGCAGGUGCCCUACAUUGGCGCGAGUGCCCGGCAGGUUGAGAACGUGCUGUCACUGUUGCGAGGUCGCCCUGGAAAAAUGGUGGAUCUAGGCUCUGGUGAUGGCAGGAUCGUAAGGCCUGUGUCUGUAUAUUCGUUGUCCCUCCCUUGGUGGCCCCAUUCCCUACAUCCAGGUCCCACACUCUUGGCUCCCAUAGGUGCUGGCGGCCCACCAAUGUGGUCUCCGUCCAGCUGUGGGGUAUGAGCUGAACCCGUGGCUUGUGGGACUUGCACGGCUGCAUGCUUGGAGGGCCGGUUGUUCCGGGAGUGUCUGCUACCAUCGAAAAGAUCUCUGGAAGGUGAGCCUCAGGGACUGUCACAACGUGUCUGUGUUCCUGGCUCCCAGUGUGCUCCCUCUGCUGGAGGACAAGCUGCAAGUGGAGCUUCCUGCAGGGGCCCGUGUGGUGUCUGGACGGUUCCCCUUUCCCACAUGGAAGCCUGUAGCCGUGGUGGGCGAGGGCACCGACAGAGUUUGGGCCUAUGAUGUCCACGGUGCUGGGCCAGCUGUGUCUUCCAGUGGGGUGCCCAUCAAGGCCAUCCCAGAGUCCAGUUCUACCUAGAUCCCUAGGGCCCCUGCUUGACAAGCUGGCUGAUUGGAUAAAAUAAAGACUCUGUGGGUUCAGUUCUGA
rnacentral:lncRNA from 1 species